UCCUUUUGGAGGUGUCCAAUAAGAUUGGAAUGAUACAGUGAGGAUAGGCACGGCUGACAAGGAUAACACGCACAAAUUGAGAAAUGGUCCAACUCUUU